rnacentral:ncRNA from 1 species
GUGUAAGUAUGAACAAAUUCAGACUGUGAAACUGCGAAUGGCUCAUUAAAUGAGUUAUAGUUUGUUUGAUGGUAUCUACUACUCGGUUAACCGUAGUAGUUCUAGAGCUAAUACGUGCAACAAACCCCGACUUCUGGAAGGGAUGCAUUUAUUAGAUAAAAGGUCGACGCGGGCUCUGCCCGUUGCUGUGAUGAUUCAUGAUAACUCGACGGAUCGCACGGCCAUCGUGCCGGCGACGCAUCAUUCAAAUUUCUGCCCUAUCAACUUUCGAUGGUAGGAUUGUGGCCUACUGUUAGACCUCUGCCAAUUUGAG